rnacentral:rRNA from 1 species
UACGUAGGGGGCAAGCGUUAUCCGGAUUUACUGGGUGUAAAGGGAGCGCAGACGGCAGUGCAAGUCUGGAGUGAAAGCCCGGGGCCCAACCCCGGAACUGCUCUGGAAACUGUGCGGCUAGAGUACUGGAGGGGCAGGCGGAAUUCCUAGUGUAGCGGUGAAGUGCGUAGAUAUUAGGAGGAACACCAGUGGCGAGGGCGGCCUGCUGGACAGUAACUGACGUUGAGGCUCGAAAGCGUGGGGAGCAAACAGG